rnacentral:lncRNA from 1 species
AAUCUUUGCUAAUUUCUCAGCUUGCCUGUGAGAGAGGAGGAGCUAAUCCUUCUAACGAUGAUUUUCCUCGUUCACCACUUGGUCUUGCUGGCCACAGACUUACUUUCUCGCAACGAUCCUUUCUUGCCUCCUUUAUGCCUUUGCAUUCGUUUCCAUUGCUGUUUUUACCUGCUUCAUUAUCUUCUGGUCCUUCGGCGUCGUGGAGAAGAACAUUGACAUAAAAGGGAGAGCAAUUGUAAUUCUCGUAUCCAACAGCUCAAUUGGGAGGACGUUUGCUAGGAACUUGGAUAAAGCAGGUUUUAGGGUGUCUGCUGCACACUGGCCUCCUCAAGAGGAGGGAACAACUGCGAAAGAAGAGUGCUCUUCAAGAAUGGAGGUAGCACAGCUCCACAUGACAGAUGAUGAGUACCAGAAGACAAUGAAAACCUUCAUAGAAAGCCACUUAUCCCUGAAAGGCACGUAUGGGCUGAUGAAGAAGCCAUCAAUCCUGAUAUGGGAAGAAGUGGAGCCAGACACGUGCAGGUUACCCGAGAGAAGAACCCCUCAUAAAUGGAAGAAGGUUUUCAGGGUUCCAGUAACCUUCAGGUUCAAAACAGUUUAUCUGAUGAAUCUAUGGCCAUGUUAUGCAGCUAAGGCAAAAUGAUGGAGAAAACUGCUUUGAUUUCAGCACCUUUUGAGCUCUGGCCAGCAGGAAGAGAAGGAAACUUUGACCUUCCCUCAUCCUUACCCUCCACCUCCACCUGAAGCUCUCAAUUUGCUAUGCUGCCGUAAUUGUUCCACAUUGGAAAUGGGCACUGGUCUGCAGGGAGGACCAGUCUGACCACUUUUACUCAUUUUGCAGUAGCAUUUUCAAGUCAGAAUCAUCCAACAUUUGUGCUGCACAUCAGAAACGAAACUAAAUAGAAUGUGUUUUUUGUUUGCUUCUUUCU